UGAAAUCACCAAUAGGACUCCACUUGAGGUAAAGCUUAAAUUUUUUUCCGUUUUCUUUAAUACGCCUGUAUAUAUAUGUCACCGGUGCUUCGAAAUAUUAAUUCUUUUUGCAAGCUUUAAGUCGAUAUACUUGUUAUUUAGCUCUGCAAUCGGAAAAUCAUUAUGUCGAAUUAUAAUUUUGUCUACUACUAGGUUAUCUUGUUGCAUUUUCACUGGAUUUUGAAAAUAUACUGCUUGAUUUCGUCGGCAUUAUGAACAAUAUACUGGAAAUCUUGACCUUGACAGAAUUGAGAUGCAUAUCAUCCUUAUAUGGUAGAGAUUUUACUUCACUUUUGUGUGGUUCAUAUGGAGCAGACUCGGAAGGUGUUCUAUCAAAUGUUUGAUUAAUCUUUUCUUUUCUAAGAUGAAUUCGGUUAGCCCAAAUUCAUUACCGUUCUUGAAUUUGAAAUCGGUUGUGGAAUGAAUUCAGUUGUGACCAAUUCAAAAUUGAAAACGGUUUAGAUUUCUAUAAGUCGAAUAACCGAAUUCAUUGCACCGAAUUACCGAUUUUGCACCGAAUGCACACCCCUAGUGGCGAAUGUCAACUAAGCCCUUGAGUUUUGAUUGCUUUGGCAAAUAGUGCUCUACUAUUCAUGGGCAUUUUCGUUUGUCCAAGUGUUAAAUGUCCACUAAGCCCUUUAGGGAUAAAAGAAGGCCAGAAUAGUUCCUAACUGUUGGGGGGUACUAUUGUAAUUUCGAAUCAUAUCUCCCCCUUAGUUGCAUUUGUUAGGGUAAUAAAGAUUUUUCUAGCAACAUUCUGCCGUUGGAUCGUGUCUUAAUCUAAGAUUGAUGCCUGAGAACUGUUGGAUCAUUCCUAAUGAUGAUUAAAGAAUUGAUUGUUUUCCUUACCUGGAGAGUUUGCACGAACUGAUGAUUGUUAUCUUCCUUCUCCCGUCUCUUCUCUUUUUGGGGUAAGUCUCCCCUCUCUUCUCUAUCUGGCUUCUCUGUUUCUUAUUUCCUUUCUCUUCCCUUUUUAUGCCUGACAAUCACCACAAUUUCUUUCUUAUUUUCACUGUAGAUUUUUUCCUUUUAUCAGGUAUUUAUACUUGCAGACAUGAAACCCACAAAUUUUUCCAUAGAUUAAGUGUACACUUUUACCCUAAAAUCCGGAUUUUUUGCUCAAAAAAUGGUCCCUUGUCUGAUUCACUAAGCCCGUACGAACCCUUAUUUCUCAACCUUUAGAUCUUUGUCAACAAUUUCUGACUCUAAAUUUUACUCUCUCGGCUUCGAUUUGAUGGCUGCUUAGUAAGAGGGAAGUAGAAUUAGUAUUAAAAACCGGAGGAAUAGAAAAGGGCGCUUGAGGUUAGAGGCUUUAUAGGAUAUACAUCUUAUUUCAUUUUGUGACGCCCCCGCUUCUCCCAAGGGCGAACCCUAGGGUAUCGGCGGGACGCCUGCCUAGCUCGCGCCAGGAUUCAAAAUUUCAAAACAAUAAAACUAGAUAAAUCCACAAGCGUAGUAUUCACAAUAUAUCUAACGCCAAAAAGUUCUAUUUACAUCUUCAAAAGUAUCGAGUCAAACUACUCUAAUACAUUAUAAUAACAACCAGCAGAAGAUGGACCCUAAGGUGGGUCCUUAUACAAAUUACCAAAACAAAAAGGAUCAUCUUAACUGUCCAACUAAUACAAACUAAACCUAACUAUACUAGCAACAGUGUCCCAAAGUUCCCCGCGUCGUCCCCUGCUAAAGAAAACAAAGGAAACGGGGUAAGUUAGAAGCUUAGUAAGUAAACAGGGGUAAAAGCGUAAAUUUCACAUUUAAAUAAACAACUAUUGCACAAAAUGUCAAGUCAAGUACAAAAGUAACAAUACAAAGGAAGGAUACAGGUUGGCUCCAAAACCAAGUCAUUUGCCAUACGUGAUCUCCUGUCGACACUUCGUCGACCAUAAAUAAAGUCCGUAGAACUCCACUUGUACACCCACCGAACAUCUUAUUACCCUCACUGGCCAGUCACCUCACAAACUUGCCCGGGCGAACGAAAUCACAAACUUGAGCUUGAGUCACAAGCUCGGGUCACAAACUUGGUUCACAACUGGAACCUACGAACUUGGUGACCUCAGACUAGGUUGGACUGGCUCCGACCAAGCCCCGGCCGACUCGAAUAGUCCAUCCAAGUCUUGAGAUCGGGCCCACAAUUUCAACAUAUUUCACGAACUCAUGAAAGUCACCUCGAGCUCCAAGCUCAAGGGGUUCAAACCCAAAAUAAUUCAUAUAUACACAUCUCAUGGAGAAACAUAGGUACAAACUAGGGUUUAGGUCGAGUGUGAUAAAGUACACCCUCGCCUAAGUCCCCCUUUUCACAUCAAAACAUAUAAGCAGUUUGUACACAUAAACGGCCUGAAUACUUAUUCAAAAUACAAAAGUAGUACAAGAGCAAAAGCACUUCGCGCGUGUUCGCUAGUAGUGGGCCCCACCGACUCCGCCUAACUCAUCACUGUCUGAAAUAGAAGAUUGUAUCACAUAUUAUUACAAACGGCCACUAACAUGCCCAAAACAAGUAAAACGGCAAAAUCGACACAUGCAAGUGCAAAAACGGUAAAAUGGGUGCACGCGCACGCGCGGAACGGCAAACGGAAAUGGCCAAAUCUGUCAUCUCCAACCGUUUUGAUCAAACGUUAGGCUAGGAAUGUCGGAUCAAGGUGAGCGAGACACCGUUUCGAAGCUAUGAGGAAGGGAUACAAUUCUCCUGAAGACACCUUAAUCUAGAUCUGAAUGGAAGCAGGUCGAAAUUAUGGAAAACAGUACCAGAAAUUUACGUCUUAGGGUGACGAACAGGGUUUGUUUGCUGGGCCAUAACUCACAGGUAACAAAUCCAAAUCAAGAAAUUCCAAAGGCGUUGGAAAGCUAGUACAUAAGGCUAUAACUUUUAUGUUUAGACCAGAAGCUGAAUCGAUACAGAGCAUGGAGGAAAAUGGGUCCAAACAUUCCUGUCAGAACUGUCCAAAUUCGAAGGUAGUUCUGACAACGGAUCUUGUUUUGGUCAUAACCGGAGCUAUGGGACUCGGAUUUGGAUGAAUUUUAUACCUUUUCGAAGCUAACAGAAAGGGAUACAAUUUUGAAGAAGGACACUCAGUCCAGUUUGUAGUGAAACUAGGUCAAAAUGUCAAUGUACCAAACCAGAACCGUAAAAACAGGUUAACAAACCGCAUUCUGGUUAACAAACCGUAAUUCAGGCUACCUAAGUCCAAAUCAAGUGAUUCCAAAGCCAUCCGAAAGCUAAGACACCAGGAUAAAUUUCUUAAGAAGACAUCAACAACCAAAUCAUAAGUAUUCCCAACCAAAUUAACCAAUUACAGAAGCAAUUAUCAAGUUCGGAUAGAAACAGGGCAGCAGGGUAUUUCGGUCUUUUCACCAGCUACGUUGCUCCGAUUGAGCUGAAAUUUUGCCGGCAUCUCUAAAAUAUUAUUCCAUACAACUUUUAUGUUUUAACCCAACGCUAAUUCGGCCUCUAACUAUGAUAAAUAGUGCCGGGCAGAAAGGGGGUAAUUGAAACCCUAAUUCCAAAAUUUUCCGUUCAAUGCGGAAAUUUUCCGCAAAUAGCCGCUAUCUUAACACUAAGGCUUCAUUCUAAACCAUUUCCAACUAUCAUACAUGGUCACAUAAUAUUAAUCAUAUGAAAACAGAAAAAUCCCACAUAAAUAGAAAAAUUCACUAAUCUUAACUAAAAUCAAGAAAUAAUCCACCAAAUCACACUUAUAACCACCAUAAGUCCUUAAUUAAACAUCAUUAGAUAGAAGAGAGGGGUUCCAUAGUCACUCACCUUAGUAACCAAAGAAAGAGGCCACUUAGCACCUUAAGCUUCCAAAUAACUUCACCAAUCACCCAAAUACCCCUAAACUAAUAGGUUUUAUGGAGUAAUUUGAAGAUUAACCGGUUGAAAUGAAAGAUUGAGCAAGAUUGAAGGUAAGAAAAUUGAGUAGUUUUUCUUCUUUUUUUCUUGAGCAAGGGCCGGCCAAGAAGCUUGAAAAAUAAGGGUGAAUUUUGGUCAAUAUUUUGAUUUAAAUGGUAAAAGGAUGAAUAGUAGUCAUAACUCAAGACUUAUUCUCCAAGUGACACUUGUCACUUCAUUAAAUGCAUAUCUAUCCCAUUGUCUCUCUCACACCAACUCACUUAAUAUCCUCUAGUUAUCUCUUAGCACCUGCUAAAAUAAACCCAGUAUCCAUUACUUAACCUAACUGGCCGAAUUUUAUCGAACUUUCCGCACUAGUGGGUCCCACAUCUGAUAUAUGUUCUUAAUUUCUCAAAAACUAACUGAUACUAGAAAAAUCAUCUAAAAAUUAUAUUUACUCAAUAAAAUUAUCUGAAAAAUUUUCUAAUAAAGAAAAUGUCGAAAAGGCGGGUGAUCAGUAAAAUAAACCAUAGAAAUUUAGAAUUUUUUUCGGGUUCUCGCACUCAUUCUUUCGGGGCGUCACACAUUUUCUCAUAGGUGAAAAGAAAAAUAGAGAGGUUUCUUGCCUUUUGGUGUAUUCCUCUAUGGUAAAGAAAAAUUUAAAACUUGUUUGCUUUUUUCCCUCUUCGCAUAGCAAACACACGAAUGCUACACAAUUAGUGUUUUUUUUUUUUUGGUAUUUUCAGCUUUGUUUGGAAAGUGGAAAAUCCUUGCAAGGGGUUUGGUGCCUUUUGUUCCCUUGCAUCUUGGUAAAUACAUUUCUUGCCAUUCUUUUUCUCUUUAUUUUUUUUCACCACGGACAUAUAUACUGAUCAGUAAUAUUUUUUUUUUGUAAUUUUCAGCUUUGGUCCGAAAAUAGAAAAGGUUUUACAGUAAAAUUUCUGUUCAUUCCAGGUUAGUUUACCUCUGAUUUGUAUCAUUAAUUUGCUGAAAUUUUUGUUAAUAUUAUAUGGGCUGAUAUUUUAAAUAUUUUAAUAUUAGUGUUAUGUGCCUAUAUGUUUGGCUAUUUACUCUUAUGAUAAGUUUUUGUGUGACGCCUCGAAAAAAAAGAGUUUGAGAACCCGGAAAUUUUCUAAUUUUCUAGGGUUUAUUUUUUUUUUAACGCCCGCCUUUUCUACAUUUUUUUGACUAGAAAAAUUUCCCAGAUAAAGUUUAUGAGCAAAAAUAGUUUUAAAAUGAUUUUUCUAGUAUCGGUUUGUUUUUGAGAAAUUAAAAGCGUAUUUUGGACGUGGGACCCGCUAGUGCGGUAAAUGCAUUAUAUUUUUGACAACUUGUAGGAAUUUUGUAUUAAGUGAUAUUAUUUUACAAGGUGCUAAGAGAUAAUUAGAGGUUACUUAGAUGGUUUAAUCUUGGAGAGAUAAAAGGAUAAGAUUAAAAUCCUAGAGGACCAUUUGUCACCUAACUAUUGGACCUUGACUUUGACUUGGACUUGUCUUAACCUUUACUAAACCAAAUUUUGACCCAAUUUCUUCCAUUUUUAUUGUCUUGGUCGAAAUUUUUGGUGAGGAAAGAACAAGAGAGAGUUUCUUCAACUUCAACUUCAAUUCUUGCUCAAAUCUUGAGUUCCAACCGAUUAAAUUGCAAAUUACUCUAUAAAACUUGCUAGCUAAGGAAGAUUGAAGCUCUUGGUGGAGUUAUUUGGAAGGUUAAAGUGCCUAGUUGUUCUCUCUCUUCUAUUGUUAAGGUGAGUGGUGAUUGAGUUUCCUCCUACACUUAAUGAAGCUUAAGUUAUGCCUAGUGGGAGCUAAAGUGCUGAAAUUUGUGGUUUAUUUCUUGGUUUGAGAUGAAUUGGUGAAGUUUUUGAUUUAUUGAUGAUUUUUCUGGUUUAAUUUGAUCAUGAUGUUGUGGCUGUCCAUGAUGGUUGGAAAUGAUGUUUAAUAACUCUAGUAGGUGUAAAUGAUUGGUAAUUGCAACCAAUUUUGGGUUUGGAAGGAAUUUGAGAAAGUAAGGGUUUUAUAUCUCCAAUUCUGUCUGGUUUUGUAUCUCAUGGUUAGAGACUGAAUUGGCCUUGGCUUAAAACAUGAAAGUUGUAGGUAUUGAUGUUUUAAAGGUGUCUGUAAAAUUUCAGGUCAAUUGGAGUAGUGUGGAGGGAGAAAAGUCAGAAAUACUGAGACUGGUCUGGGAAGGGGUGCUGCGAACAGGGUUGCCUUUUCACUCAAUUUGACCGUGACCUUUCACUCUGAUUCUCACCGAAUUAGAUUUUGGUCAAAACAUGAAAGUUGUAGACAAGGCUAUAAAAUAGUUGCCUGUAAAUUUUCAGCUUGAUCCGAACACUGUAGCAUGUGAAAUGACCGAAAUACCCUUGACUGUUUUUGAAACCUGUUUCGUGCCCAGAUUUUUGUUUUCGUGUAGUCUUCCAUUUUCGAUCAUGAAAAUGCACGAUUUGGCCUUUGAGGUCUUCUGAUGAAAUGUAGCUUGAUGUAUUAGCUACCAUAUGCCUUUGGAAUUUCUGGAUUUGGACUUGUAGAGCCUGAGUUAUGAUGUUUCCGCUAGAAUACGUUUUGGUGAAUCUGUUUUACGUUUUCGAUAGAGUAUCUUGCAUUUUUGACCUGUUUGCACUCAAAACUGGGUUGAGUGACCUUCUGUAAUAUUGUAGCCCUGUCUUUUAGCUUCGAAACGGUGUAUCUUACACCCCCAUCCGAUAAUCGUAGUGCCAAUGGUGCCAAAACCGCUAAUGACAUCAAAUCUGUUUUGGGUUUUAGGGCUUGGAUUCCGACAAGAUAAUGGUAUAUGACGGAUGGGUUCUGAGCCGUGGAGGUGAGUGACCCUAAAGUGUUUCCAAAGUUACUUAUGAACCGUUUAUUGUACUAUUUACUUGAUUGCAUAUCAUGAGUGCUUGCAUGUGGCCCAUGACAUGUUUUGGCUUAAAUGAGUACUUGGAAUUCGUGUGCUGAACACCAACGUCUCCACCUCUGUGUACUGUUCAUUUGGAGCAAAUGGCUCCCCCUCUGACUAUUUACUGUUAAAUGUUUGUUUGGAGCGUUGGGUGUUUAAGUACAACGAUUUCACUGGCUCACGAGAGCAAUAAAUGUACAUUUGAUCUUAGAAUCAUGACAUCACUUAAAUGAACGACUGUGAAACUGAUUUGCUUACCGAUUUUAUUGGUUACUCGGUGAGCUUUUAGCUCACCCCCAAAAUGUUUUAUUCCCCUCCACAGGGCUCGAGAUGAAGGAAGUGCUUGUAGCACGUAUUCAUGUGACCGGAUGGAUUAUCUCACGUAUGGUUUGAGUUUUGGAUUUCUUCUUGUGUAUAUAGUUGGCGUGGUGGUUGUAGUUAUCAGUUUUU
rnacentral:lncRNA from 1 species